ACCAAACCUAGCCCUAAAACAUAAAAACAAAACUAAAAAUUUUAUUAAGCUAAAACAUUUAAUCUAAUUAAAGUAUUAGAGAAAGAAAUUUUACUUAGGAGCUAUAGAGAUAGUACCGCAAGGGAAAGAUGAAAGAAAGUUCUCAGUAAAAAACAGCAAAGAUUACCCCUUGUACCUUUUGCAUUAUGAGUUAACUAGAAAUAAACUAACUAAGAGAACUUAGCUAGAAACCCCGAAACCAAACGAGCUACCUAAGAACAAUUUUUUGAACCAACCCGUCCAUGUAGCAAAAUGGUGGGAAGAUUUUUAGGUAGAGGUGAGAAGCCUAACGAGCUUGGUGAUAGCUGGUUACCCAAUAAUGAAUUUCAGUUCAACUUUAAGACUACCAAAAGAACUUUAAAUCUUACUGUAAUCUUAAAAUUUAGCCUAAAGAGGUACAGCUCUUUAGGACAGGCCUACAGCCCUUAAUAGUGAAUAAUAUAAACAUAAUGAUAAUCAUAGUUGGCCUAAAAGCAGCCAUCAAUAAAGAAAGCGUUUAAGCUCAAAACUUAUCUAUUUCUAAUCCCAAAAAAUUAUAAUAAUUCCUAUAUCUAUAAUUGGGUCAAUCUAUAAAUUUAUAGAUGAGACAAUGUUAACAUGAGUAACAAGAAUAAUAUUCUCCAUGCACAAGUGUAUAACAACCCGGAUGCCCCAUUGUUAGUUAUUCAAUCAAGAGAACUUAACUUAAAUAUAAAACAUCCACUAACCCUAUUGUUAAUCCAACACAGGAGUGCUAUAAGGAAAGAUAAAAAGAAAUAAAAGGAACUAAGCAAACACAAACCCCGCCUGUUUACCAAAAACAUCGCCUUUAGCAUUACAAGUAUUAAAGGUAUUGCCUGCCCAGUGACCAAGGUUAAACGGCCGCGGUAUUCUGACCGUGCAAAGGUAGCAUAAUCACUUGUUCCUUAAUUAGGGACUAGAAUGAACGGCAAAACGAGGGUUUAACUGUCUCUUAUUUCUUAUCAGUGAAAUUGACCUUCCCGUGAAGAGGCGGGAAUUUCAAAAUAAGACGAGAAGACCCUAUGGAGCUUUAAUUUAUUAAUUUAUUUCUCUACAAUAGAAAUCUAAUGAAAUAACAUUUGAAAACUAAAUUAAUAAUUUUGGUUGGGGUGACCUCGGAGAACAAAUCAACCUCCGAAAGAUUGUAAUUUAGACUCACAAGUCAAAAUAUAAAUAUUAAUCAAAUUGACCCAAUCACUUGAUCAACGAACCAAGUUACCCUAGGGAUAACAGCGCUAUCUUAUUUAAGAGUUCAUAUCGAAAAUAGGGUUUACGACCUCGAUGUUGGAUCAGGAUAUCCCAAUGGUGCAGCAGCUAUUAAUGGUUCGUUUGUUCAACGAUUAAAAUCCUACGUGAUCUGAGUUCAGACCGGAGUAAUCCAGGUCGGUUUCUAUCUAUUAAUAAUUUCUCCCAGUACGAAAGGACAAGAGAAAUAGAGCCAACUAUAAUAUAGAGCUCUAAAUUAAAUUUAUGAAUUGAUCUUAAUAAAAUUAAUUUUACCUAUCCUUAGCCUAGUCCAGGC
rnacentral:rRNA from 1 species